rnacentral:rRNA from 1 species
GGGUCAGUAGGUUGGUCGUGCCACCGGUACGUACUGGUCUCACUGAUUCCUCCUUCCUGAAGAACCGUAAUGCCAUUAAUUUGGUGUUGCGGGGAAACAGGACUGUUACUUUGAACAAAUUAGAGUGUUUAAAGCAAGCUAACGCUUGAAUACAUUAGCAUGGAAUAAUGAAAUAGGACGAUCGAUCCUAUUUUGUUGGUGUCUAGGAUUGACGUA